CACACUGGACUGAGACACGGUCCAGACUCCUACGGGAGGCAGCAGUGGGGAAUAUUGCACAAUGGGCGCAAGCCUGAUGCAGCCAUGCCGCGUGUGUGAAGAAGGCCUUCGGGUUGUAAAGCACUUUCAGUCGUGAGGAAGGUAGUGUAGUUAAUAGCUGCAUUAUUUGACGUUAGCGACAGAAGAAGCACCGGCUAACUCCGUGCCAGCAGCCGCGGUAAUACGGAGGGUGCGAGCGUUAAUCGGAAUUACUGGGCGUAAAGCGCAUGCAGGUGGUUUGUUAAGUCAGAUGUGAAAGCCCGGGGCUCAACCUCGGAAUAGCAUUUGAAACUGGCAGACUAGAGUACUGUAGAGGGGGGUAGAAUUUCAGGUGUAGCGGUGAAAUGCGUAGAGAUCUGAAGGAAUACCGGUGGCGAAGGCGGCCCCCUGGACAGAUACUGACACUCAGAUGCGAAAGCGUGGGGAGCAAACAGGAUUAGAUACCCUGGUAGUCCACGCCGUAAACGAUGUCUACUUGGAGGUUGUGGCCUUGAGCCGUGGCUUUCGGAGCUAACGCGUUAAGUAGACCGCCUGGGGAGUACGGUCGCAAGAUUAAAACUCAAAUGAAUUGACGGGGGCCCGCACAAGCGGUGGAGCAUGUGGUUUAAUUCGAUGCAACGCGAAGAACCUUACCUACUCUUGACAU
rnacentral:rRNA from 1 species